GCCAUCAUAGCUCAGUGGUAGAGCAACUGAUUCGUAAUCAGUAGAUCGUGGGUUCAAGUCCCGCUGAUGGCUCCA
rnacentral:tRNA from 1 species